UGGGUGUGGGCGUGGGUGCAAAGUAGGUGCCAUAUAAGGCGCUAAUCCUUUCUCACGUAGGAAUCCUUCUUUAAUAAGUUGUAGACUGAUUCAAAGCUUGUUUGAAUUAGGAGUCCCAUUCUUAUUGGAUUAUAACAAUUAUCUAUAAAUCGAGAGGGUUUCUACUUAUAGAUGCAUAGCAAUCAGAUUGUGAAGAGUGAGAAAGAGAGAAAGA
rnacentral:lncRNA from 1 species